AUUGAACGCUGGCGGCAUGCCUUACACAUGCAAGUCGAACGGCAGCGGACCUUCGGGUGCCGGCGAGUGGCGAACGGGUGAGUAAUAUAUCGGAACGUACCUUUCAGUGGGGGAUAACGUAGCGAAAGUUACGCUAAUACCGCAUAUUCUGUGAGCAGGAAAGCAGGGGAUCGCAAGACCUUGCGCUGAUUGAGCGGCCGAUAUCAGAUUAGCUAGUUGGUGAGGUAAAGGCUCACCAAGGCGACGAUCUGUAGCGGGUCUGAGAGGAUGAUCCGCCACACUGGAACUGAGACACGGUCUAGACUCCUACGGGAGGCAGCACGUGGGGAAUUUUGGACAAUGGGCGCAAGCCUGAUCCAGCCAUGCCGCGUGAGUGAAGAAGGCCUCGG
rnacentral:rRNA from 1 species